rnacentral:piRNA from 1 species
UGGGUUGCAUGUGGGAUAUGUGAAAAGA